rnacentral:lncRNA from 1 species
UCCAAAAGUCACACAGUCCCUACAAAAGUUUGCCACACAACUUAUCACCAAAAGUAUUUCCAGUCUACAUGUGUUUACAUAUCAAAGAAAGCUUAAUUAAUCAGAGGAAAUCUAGCACAAAUGUAUGUUAUAGCCUAAAUAAUUUAGUUUCUAGCUAAAUGAAGAUCUACUUCAGAUUAUGAUAUUUUAAAAUAAAAAUGAAUCACCCAAGAAAUAAUCACUUUUGGGUAAACUAUCAUUUUAAUGUCAUUAAUCGUUCCUGUUUUUGAGUAAAUAGUAUAUUAACAACUAAAAGAGUUUCGGAGCAACUUGUUGUAAAUUGUGUUUUUUAGAUUUACCAGAAAAUUUUGAUAUGAAUUAUUGAAAUACCCACUUCCGCAUAUAAAAACUAGGUGUCUUUGAUAUAUUGUUUAAAUAUGCAAAUAUGUUAACAAUAAAGGAGAUACAAGCUCAUGUAAUGAGAUUACUUCCAUUAUUUUUAAGUUACUUUAAAUAUUUGUUGGGGAAAACUUGUUAGCAGUGGAUCAUUGCUCUAGGACAACUCAAUGACCACCCAAUUGUCUGUGUGUUCCAGCCAAAUUCUCUACACUAACAUGAGAAAGGGCACAAUGAUCUUUCUGGGAUCAGGGGUGUAUUAGUCUGUUCUCACUCUGCUAAUAAAGAUAUAACCAAGACUGGGUAAUUUAUAAAGGAAAGAGGUUUAAUGGACUCACAGUUCCACAUGGCCUCACAAUCAUGGCAGAAGAGCAAGGGAUGUCUUACAUGGUGGCAGGCAAGAGAGAGCUUGUGCAGGGGAACUCCCCUUUAUAAACCAUCAGAUCUCAUGAGACUUAUUCACUAUCAUGAGAACAGCACAAGAAAGACCUCCCACCAGGU